AAAAAGUGAAAAGAACCCACCGCCGCCGAAAAAAAAAAGGGAAAACCUAUCCUCCUGCGCGGCGCCGCCCGCCGCUCGCCUCCUGCGCGCCCGCCGGCGCCGCUCCGCUCGCGUGGCUGCGCUCCCGAUUUCCCUACCCCGCCGCUGCCUCGGAUCGCCUGUGGCCGCCACCUCCCGUCGGAGCCGUCGUCGUUGCCGAGGAAGCGGGCCGCAUCGCCGCCGCCGCCGCCUCCUACGCGCGUAACGCGCCCCCGCCCCACCGCCCCGCAUCCCCCCUUCCCUUGCUGACGGGUGCUGCACCGCGCCGGCGCCGGAACGGCGAGGUUCACAUCCGUCCUGCUGCCUCCCCUCCCUUCUAGCCCUCCGCAGCCGCCGUCAUCAACGUCCUCCGCGGCAACCGCACGUCGCCGGGUCCGCCGCCACCACUGGAACACCGCCCUUCCUCCAACCGCCCCUUCCAACCCCAUCGCCCCCUCCUCAGCUGAUCACCCCGCCGCCGCAGAAGGUUGUCAGGACGGCCGCCGGCGAGGCUUCCCGCUCCUCCAUCCUGUUCAGGUCAGCGGGCAGGCCGUGCUACACGUUCUUCGCUUCGCCGACGAUGGUGGUCAAGCAGCAGUAGUGCCAGACCGAUUGGCAUGACAUGUUUGCCUCCAUUCAGUAAAAUUCAUCUGAAUUCAAAGUGUUCCAACUGUGGCGUUUUGCUUCUGAACAGCUCCCCAACUUGCACUUGAUGCGAUGGUUCUGUUUUGCUGCUAAAAGUCAGGUUCAAUUGAAUAUCUUUUAAUUUCAGAGCUGCAAGUACAUCUUCAAUUAAAUAACUUUUCUUUUCCUUUUCAUUUUCUGCUAAAAAGCUAGGUUCAAUUGAAUACCCUCUCCAACCUAAUUUUCUAUUUUCUCAGAUGUAUGUAUCUAUUAACUCAGAAAUGAAGAUGGCAGGAUAGCCUAGGUUUGGAGACUAUUUUUAGUUCACGACUUCAUAUAUCACUCGCUUAGAUUUUACUAAUCUUAAUUUGUUGAUAUGUGCAACCUAAUUUUCUAUUUUUUUUCAGAUUUUUGUUCCUAUUAACUCUGAAAUGAACAUGGCAGGAUGACUUAGGUUCGGAGAUUUUUUUUAGUUCAGUUCAGGGCUUCAUGUAGCACUAGCUUAGAUUUUACUAAUCUCUAUCGAUAUGUCCAACCUAAUUUUCUUGUUCAGAUUUUGCACCUAUUAACUCUGAGAUGAAACUGGUAUGAUGGCUUAGAUUUGGAGAUGUUUUUAAUUCUGGACUUCAUAUACCAAUCACUUAGAUUUUACUAAAUUUGGUUUAUAUUGUUACUAAAAUAUGUUGAUACAGUGAGUCCUGAAGACUAAGCUGAAGAUCACAAAUCAUCUACUGCCAUAGGAGUAAAAUAAACUAUAUUGCUCCAUAUUGCUCUAUAUUUGAUUAUAUCAAGGUAGGUUUCCAAAAGGAAAACAAUGGGUACUGUUUCUUUAGGGAAUAAAAAAGCAGUGCUUUCUGCAGUUCCUAUAGAAAUAGCUCAAUAUAUCUUAUUGCCUCUGUCAGGCAUUUCAAUUCAGCUAAGAUAUAAUAUGUAGCAUCCACAACAGGUUGAAACGAGCUGAUUACUGACGGAUGAUCAGUGUCAAGUGAGCUAUACAAAAUAUAAUUUUCAAUUCCAACAAAUUGUGAAACUUUACCAUUUAAAUUUGCAGACAAACAAGUUACAUAUGUUAUACAUAUACAGCUAUGGCAAUGUUAUAUGUUUGGAUUAAUUAUUUUUUCCCAUGUAAAUCUAAUAAUGGCCUGGUAUAUAUGGAUGGUUGACAGCAGGGGAGAGCAGCAAAGCUGCUGCACCUGACCACUGCACAUCUUUGGCUCUUCCUUUCUGACCACUCUAGGAGAUGGAUUACAAGCGAGGCAAGGGCUCCAGAUCAAUAUCAUCCAGAAGAAAGUAGUACUAAUUUUAAAAAAAACUUGUUAUUUUAUAUAUUGCACUACUUAUAAUUUAUAAUUUACAGAUGCCUAAAUAUAUAGGAUGUUGAUUUAUUAAUGUUUUUAUCACCGAACUACUCCCGAGCUAAAUGCCAGAGAGGAUGGAUUUCUCAGCAAUUGUCUCCACAAUUCUGAAGCAGCGACCAUACUUAUAAAAUAGUUCAUGUAUUGAUAAAUUGGAUAUAUGUCAAAAUGUUCACUGAGUUAAAUGCUAGGAGCAAGUUGAAUAUAUUAAAGUUUUCAAGGGAAUCA